rnacentral:rRNA from 1 species
AUUGAACGCUGGCGGCAGGCCUAACACAUGCAAGUCGAGCGGAUGAAGGGAGCUUGCUCCUGGAUUCAGCGGCGGACGGGUGAAUAAUGCCUAGGAAUCUGCCUGGUAGUGGGGGAUAACGUCCGGAAACGGGCGCUAAUACCGCAUACUUCCUGAGGGAGAAAGUGGGGGAUCUUCGGACCUCACGCUCUCAGAUGAGCCUAGGUCGGAUUAGCUAGUUGGUGGGGUAAAGGCCUACCAAGGCGACGAUCCGUAACUGGUCUGAGAGGAUGAUCAGUCACACUGGAACUGAGACACGGUCCAGACUCCUACGGGAGGCAGCAGUGGGGAAUAUUGGACAAUGGGCGAAAGCCUGAUCCAGCCAUGCCGCGUGUGUGAAGAAGGUCUUCGGAUUGUAAAGCACUUUAAGUUGGGAGGAAGGGCAGUAAGUUAAUACGUUGCUGUUUUGACGUUAACAACAGAAUAAGCACCGGCUAACUUCGUG